UACGCAGGGGGCAAGCGUUGUCCGGAUUCAUUGGGCGUAAAGAGCUCGUAGGCGGUUCAGUAAGUCGGGUGUGAAAGCUCCGAGCUCAACUCGGAGAGGCCACCCGAUACUGCUGUGACUUGAGUCCAGUAGAGGAGCGUGGAAUUCCUGGUGUAGCGGUGAAAUGCGCAGAUAUCAGGAAGAACACCAAUGGCGAAGGCAGCUCUCUGGGACGGUACUGACGCUGAGACGCGAAAGCGUGGGGAGCGAACAGG
rnacentral:rRNA from 1 species